UGCUUAACACAUGCAAGUCGAACGGACUCAGCCGGUGGUAACACCGGCGAAAGUUAGUGGCGAACGGGUGCGUAACACGUGAGCAACCUGCCCUAGAGACUGGGAUAACACCGGGAAACCGGUGCUAAUACCGGAUACCCCCAUCCCACCGCAUGGUGGAAUGAGGAAAUGUUUUUUCGCUCUUGGAGGGGCUCGAGGCCUAUCAGCUUGUUGGUGAGGUAACGGCUCACCAAGGCUUCGACGGGUAGCUGGUCUGAGAGGACGACCAGCCACACUGGGACUGAGACACGGCCCAGACUCCUACGGGAGGCAGCAGUGGGGAAUAUUGCGCAAUGGGCGAAAGCCUGACGCAGCAACGCCGCGUGGAGGACGAAGGCUCUCGGGUUGUAAACUCC
rnacentral:rRNA from 1 species